rnacentral:rRNA from 1 species
GAUUUCUGGUAUGACGUUACUAGUCCGCCUGGGUCCACCAGCGUGAGUACUGGUCAGCGUCUGCCAUCCUUGUAGAAACGCAUUACUGCCGUUCGCGGUGGGUAAUGUUGAUCUACAUCUUUUACUUUGAAAAAAUUAGAGUGUUUAAAGCAGGCUAUUGCUAUGAAUACAUUAGCAUGGAAUAAUAAUCUAGGACUUCGGUUCUAUUUUGUUGGUUUCUAUAACUGAAGUAAUGAUUGAUAGGGAUAGUUGGGGGUGCUAGUAUUCAGCGGCCAGAGGUGAAAUUCUCGGAUUCGCUGAAGACUAACUUAUGCGAAAGCAUU